ACGCUCGACACCUACGGGGGGCAGCAGUGGGGGAGUAUUGCACAAUGGAGGAAACUCUGAUGCAGCGACGCCGCGUGAGGGAAGAAGGUUUUCGGAUCGUAAAACUCUGUUGUUAGAGAAGAACACGAGUGAGAGUAACUGUUCAUUCGAUGACGGUAUCUAACCAGCAAGUCACGGCUAACUACGUGCUAGCAGCCGCGGUAAUCUGAGCGGGCUGGCAAGGC
rnacentral:rRNA from 1 species